rnacentral:rRNA from 1 species
UACAGAGGGUGCAAGCGUUAAUCGGAAUUACUGGGCGUAAAGCGUGCGUAGACGGUAGCGUAAGUCGGGUGUGAAAGCCCCGGGCUCAACCUGGGAAUUGCAUUCGAGACUGCUCUGCUAGGGUGCGGAAGAGGGGAGCGGAAUUCCCGGUGUAGAGGUGAAAUUCGUAGAUAUCGGGAGGAACACCGGUGGCGAAGGCGGCGAUCUGGGUAGAUACUGACGCUGAGGUGCGAAAGCGUGGGGAGCAAACAGG